GGCCCUUCGGGGCCAGCGGCGGACGGGUGAGUAACACGUAGGCAACCUGCCCGAAAGACCGGGAUAACUGGCGGAAACGUCAGCUAAUACCGGAUAGGAGGAAGCAAGGCAUCUUGCUUUCUGGAAAGGCGGAGCUUUUCUGCCACUUUCGGAUGGGCCUGCGGCGCAUUAGCUAGUAGGCGGGGUAACGGCCCACCUAGGCGACGAUGCGUAGCCGACCUGAGAGGGUGAUCGGCCACACUGGGACUGAGACACGCCCAGACUCCUACGGGAGGCAGCAGUAGGGAAUCUUCCGCAAUGGGCGAAAGCCUGACGGAGCAACGCCGCGUGAGUGAAGAAGGUCUUCGGAUCGUAAAGCUCUGUUGCCGGAGAAGAACGGCCUGGAGAGUGACUGCUCCAGGAG
rnacentral:rRNA from 1 species